rnacentral:rRNA from 1 species
UACGUAGGGGGCAAGCGUUAUCCGGAUUUACUGGGUGUAAAGGGAGCGUAGACGGAUGGACAAGUCUGAUGUGAAAGGCUGGGGCUCAACCCCGGGACUGCAUUGGAAACUGCCCGUCUUGAGUGCCGGAGAGGUAAGCGGAAUUCCUAGUGUAGCGGUGAAAUGCGUAGAUAUUAGGAGGAACACCAGUGGCGAAGGCGGCUUACGGGACGGUAACUGACGUUGAGGCUCGAAAGCGUGGGGAGCAAACAGGAUUAGAAAACCCCGGCCGGCUGACUGACU